GCAGAAUCCACAGGAGCAGCGGAUCCCGAAGGAGAGCUUUGUGGUUCACCUCGGGUGCAAAAAUUAAAAUAGCAACACAGUCUCAACGUAUUUUCUACUCCUUACAACAUGAAUGCAAGCCAACUGCCAUGCCUGAUAUGUUCCAAGCAUCUGAAAGAAAAUUAUAUCAUGUAAGCAAUUUUUGUUAACAACCAAAACAGUCAAAACAGCCGCUCAGGCCCAAGUACCUUGAGCACAGCAUCUGCAAUAUCAUGAUUGCCAGGAACAGAUUCAACACAGAUAAGUAUAUGGACCUUGCUCUGUGCUGUGCUGCAGAUGUAGGAUGACUUUGCUCACAGAUCUCAAGGGGGAAGUAACCAUGUUACGAUUAUAGAUGGAGAAUACAGAGAAAAUCUAUGCAUGCCCUCUAACAUUUCAAAGUUGAAAAUAACAACCAUGUGGUAGCUUAAGUUUUCCUUUGGUAAACAGAUGAAAUACAGGUUUCCCUCUGGAAGCUGUUGCCAAAGAUGAAAAUAGGGGUGCAUCUGUAUUUAUAAAACCCAUCAAGAUGCAGAGACUGUGCUUGUUGCUUCCUUAUAUACUAGUAUAUAUUCACUGGUAAAAGUAUUGAAACUACUCGUACAGUAAAAUUUACUUAUUUAAUCCUUUGUAGUGAUGAACAAAUAUAUUUAUAAAAUUAUGGUUUGAAAUAAAUGUAUUUGUCUUAAAAAAUUGAUCUGUUUAUUAUGUGGCCUCAAACUUCUGACUGCUGUGGUGAAUUAGUAGUUAUAGGACAUACAUUAAACGUAUUACAAUCAUUACAAUGAAAUGCACUUGUAAAGUUUAAUUUAGACUGCAAUCCUAAACUCACAUAAUUGGAAGUACCGUAAUUCUCAUUGAACCCAAUCAGACUUACUUUUCAAUAGACAUGUAUAGGGUUGCAGCUUCAAGCUCUUUGAAUUAUUGGCAGAGUUGCGGUAGCAGUGUAACUUAGACUUCAUACAUAACUGCUAUAGCUAAACUCCAACCAAGUAUUUUGAGACCAACAACACAAUUUACACUGAACUAAGUUGUCGGGCUAUCUUAAAAAAUGAGGGAAAGGCAGAUCCAGGAAAAUACACAACAGUCAGCCAGAUGCUGACACCAACCAAAAUUAUACAACAGAUUAUUAAGCAAUCGCUCUAUGAGGAUUGUUUACAAGAAGCCACAUGGGUUUUCCAAGAAUGUCAUGUGAGACAAACCUUAUCUACUUAAUUUUAAUUGACAACCUUCUAACUAUAAUUCUAUGAUUCAAAACAAAGAAAUAUCAAAACAGCCCCACAUAAGUUCAUCCCACACAGGAAGAAGGGUAAAGGAAGAAUGUGCAUGCAAAAGUGAGAAUGUGUGAAGGAAGGAAUCCUUCAAAAUCAAAACCUUAUACAUAUUGUUGUUUGAUCCAAAAAUGUAUUCACUAUCUUACAAAGGGUUAGUCAGCACAAACAAGCAAGAAAUGCAUUUAUCCUUAUGCCAUAAUACAUUUGAUAUUACAAUAUUUUACAUACCACAAUUUUUUUGUUCCUUUUGCAGGAAAAGGAGGGGAAAGAAAACUCAGUGGCAGGGAUGGUGAAGGGCUUGCAUAAUGCUGCCAGCAGUAGGCAAUCUGGCCAGGUUGAUAGUAGCAUCCCAUGGUGGACAGCUCCUUGCCUGAGCCUCACUUCAGCGAAGCAUGCAGUCAUGACCAGGACUUGAA